GACGACAUCAGCUGCUUCCAUAAGUUCCCACACGAAUUGCUUGAUUCAUUGAAGAAGACGGUAGAAGCGGAGUUAAAUCGUGGCUUCUCUAUCGUAAAGCUUAGAAAUGAACAUUCCAUCAUGCGAUGGUGAAUGUUGUUUCUGAUCUUUGAUUAGAUCGUCUUUAAAAUUUGGGUAUGUGAUAGAAGAUAGACUGGAUACACUUGCACUGUGUUAUCAGGCAGGCUAAGGUAAAAUUUGUGAGUUAAAUUGCGAAUUUUCGGCGAAUGUCGUCUUCAUAGUAUAACCAGAUUGCUUGGGGUUAUAUGGUCAAGUGAAG
rnacentral:misc_RNA from 1 species